rnacentral:lncRNA from 1 species
GAGGAACCCACUGGCCUCGCUCCGGCGCGGGGAUCCGGGAGACAGUGGACCCUGGAGAGAGGACCCAGGGCUGGUCUAGGGAUGCAGCCUCACCCCAAGACACCAUGGCAGCCCACAGAGAGCCAUCCAUGCAUCACCAGUUCUCCAACAGGCGGCUCAUGCCCUUAGAGUACACAUCCCCAGCAUCUGUGCAUCACAACACUCGGUCCGGUGGUGGCUCUGCUCCUACACACACCAGGACCUGGGCCUUGAGAGGACCCUCCUUCCUGAUAUCCUCUACAGAGAUGUGGCCUUCCUCAACCCGGUCGACCCCAUCUCCCAUGACCUGCUUGUGAACCUGGCCCGGGACCUGCAGUGCCCCAAGAAGGACCCUCAGAGUCCUGGGCAGACCCAUUUUCUGUGUGGCAGCACUGUGCACCAGGCCUGGGGGCCCAGACCAGGAAGACUAUAGCUGGGCAGAAGUCAUAUGGGGACCCUGCGGGUCACAGACUGUUCUGAGAAAUCCACCAACGGAAACAAACUCCUAGCCUCUGAAUUCCUGGGCCAGAAGAGAGCCGCUCUCGGCUAGAGCCCCC